rnacentral:rRNA from 1 species
GAUGAACGCUGGCGGCGUGCCUAAUACAUGCAAGUCGAACGCAUAGCGAAAGGUGCUUGCACCUUUCAAGUGAGUGGCGAACGGGUGAGUAACACGUGGACAACCUGCCUCAAGGCUGGGGAUAACAUUUGGAAACAGAUGCUAAUACCGAAUAAAACUUAGUGUCGCAUGACACAAAGUUAAAAGGCGCUUCGGCGUCACCUAGAGAUGGAUCCGCGGUGCAUUAGUUAGUUGGUGGGGUAAAGGCCUACCAAGACAAUGAUGCAUAGCCGAGUUGAGAGACUGAUCGGCCACAUUGGGACUGAGACACGGCCCAAACUCCUACGGGAGGCUGCAGUAGGGAAUCUUCCACAAUGGUCGAAAGCCUGAUGGAGCAACGCCGCGUGUGUGAUGAAGGCUUUCGGGUCGUAAAGCACUGUUGUAUGGGAAGAACAGCUAGAAUAGGAAAUGAUUUUAGUUUGACGGUACCAUACCAGAAGGGGACGGCUAAAUACGUG